rnacentral:lncRNA from 1 species
UAAACGUUUGCUUAAUUAAGGCCUUCUGUAGCACUGAUACUGCUGAUCUCUGGCAUGAAGCGCAAGACUUGCAAUUCAAUGACAACAAACAGGUCUACAAGGAGAGCACAACUUCCCAUUUAAAACCAACAAACAAGAAGCUUUGAAAACAAGAUAAAUGGAAGUGUCAAUAAUGAAUAUGCAUGAAGGUCUUUCUCCUGUAGUCAUUGGUUAGGCGAUUCUGGCAGUAUUUUGUAGGGCACAUUAUUCUGCUUUGGAACUUCGGCUGGAAGGAGAACUAAGCAAGAUGAGAAACUGAACGUAUCUGUGACUCUGCAAGCAGUCCCUGACGCUGUGGUGGGAUCCAGGCCUGGACGCUGUGGAUAAGGUACAAUGUCCUACUGUGAUUAUUUCAGGAAACCAGCAACAUGGGGACAGAUAAAAGUAAGAAGCAGGUUACCUUCGCUCUCUGGUUUUGGAACCACACCUGGACGACACGGACACUCAGCCCUGUCUCUGCAGCCAGAGUCUCUCUCACCUUGGAAAAAUUGAACGAGAAAUGUAGACACACUGGCAUCUCAGGGUAGGAGGUAGAACAUCUCCUAUAUAAUACUUGAGGAGGCCAAAAGACUGUAUCUGCUUUAGGAGCUGAAUAGUUUUUAAUGUUGAGCAUACACACAAACACGAGAACAUUGCUUCCCUUCAGGUAGAAAGAAAGUCCUUCACCAGGUAACUUUGGGUGUUUCAUGAAUAUCCAUAGUGACUGCUACCCCAAGUGAGCCCUGCCCAAAGAGAAUAAAAUGAGAGCCAUCUGGAACCCGGCAGAGCCAGGAAGUGUGGCCACAGGACUACAUUCUGGCCAACACAUAUGAGGAGAAAUGAUUUGAGCAACCCCUGGAUACAUCCUUAAAAAGCAGGGCGCUUGCCCUCCAUUUCCUCUUUCUCUACCUGGUGACUGGAAACAUGGUGACAACUGGAGCAGUCGCUUGGACACAGGAGAUGGAUAACAGAGCCACCCACCAGCCUUGCCUUGCUCACCUCUGGACUGUGACAGAAGAGAAUAAACUCCUGUCUCAUUAAA